rnacentral:rRNA from 1 species
CAACGACCUCAGUUCGGACGAGAUCACCCGCUAAACUUAAGCAUAUCGCUAAGCGGAGGAAAAGAAACUAACAAGGAUUCCCUUAGUAGCGGCGAGCGAACAGGGAAGAGCCCAGCGCCGAAUCCCACGGUCCGAAAGGACCGAUCGGGAAAUGUGGCGUUAAGGAGGAUCCGCAAUCCCCGGAGUCGCGUGCGGCGAGUCCAAGUCCUUCUUGAAAGAGGCCGAUCCACCCGAAGAGGGUGCCAGGCCCGUAGGACCGCCUCCCGACGACGGGUCGGAUCUCUCCCUAGAGUCGGGUUGCUCGAGAUUGCAGCCCUAAGCAGGUGGUAAACUCCAUCUAAGGCUAAAUACCACCACGAGACCGAUAGCGAACAAGUACCGCGAGGGAAAGUUGAAAAGAACUUUGAAGAGAGAGUUCAAGAGUACGUGAAACCGUUCAGGGGUGAACCUGAGAAACCCGAAAGGUCGAAAGCCGAGAUACAGCGUUCGUCCGCGUCGUCGGAUCGUAAAAUUUCAUCUGUUCGGAAGUUUUACGAGGCCCGACGCGGCGACGUGCACUUUUCGGCGAGUAGGACGUCGCGACCCGUUGGGACUGUAGUAGCCGACGCGUUACGGGAACGCGCGGGAAGCUCGGAAGGACGAAACGAGACGAGCGCUCGUCCAGUUCUCCGAACCCGUUCGCGUUCUCUCCGGCGUCCGGCACGCCCGACGCGACGUAAACAAUAACGAACCGACCGACGGAGCGCAUAAGAGCGCGCCCGUCCCGUCGUCGUUCGACGAACGUCGUUCCGGUACCGGUAGAUUCGGCGGCCCAGCGUCGUCGACUCCGGGAAAGACGCGUUCCGACGCGACGGUGAUCUCGGGCGACUUAAACGCGUCACCGACCGUCGUCGGUCUGCGACGCUAUCGCUUUGGGUAAUCUCAGGACCCGUCUUGAAACACGGACCAAGGAGUCCAACGUGCGCGCGAGUCAAUGGGCGAAUUAUAGAAACCCAAAGGCGAAGCGAAAGCGAAGGUCGGACUGCGCGUUUCGGCGCGCCGUCCGUCCGUUGGGAGGAUGGGCGACCGUCCCUUAAAAGAGGAUCGCUCCGCACUCCCGGGGCGUCUCGUCUCGGUAUCGGAGCGUGUCGUCGGUUCGGUCGGUUUCGGCCGGAUCGCGCCCUUCGGUACCGGAGACGCACCUCUAGCGCGCACGCUGGGACCCGAAAGAUGGUGAACUAUGCCUGGUCAGGACGAAGUCAGGGGAAACCCUGAUGGAGGUCCGCAGCGAUUCUGACGUGCAAAUCGAUCGUCAGAACUGGGUAUAGGGGCGAAAGACCAAUCGAACCGUCUAGUAGCUGGUUCCCUCCGAAGUUUCCCUCAGGAUAGCUGGCGCUCGCAUCGAGAGAGUCUCAUGCGGUAAAGCGAAUGAUUAGAGCGAAUCGGGGUCGAAACGACCUCUACCUAUUCUCAAACUUUAAAUGUGUGAGAUCUCCGGCUUGCCCGAUUAACGAAGCCGCGAGAUCGGAUCUAGAGUGCCAAGUGGGCCAAUUUUGGUAAGCAGAACUGGCGCUGUGGGAUGAACCAAACGUAAAGUUAAAGCGCCCAAAUCGACGCUCAUGGGAAACCAUGAAAGGCGUUGGUAACUCAGGACAGCAGGACGGUGACCAUGGAAGUCGGAAUCCGCUAAGGAGUGUGUAACAACUCACCUGCCGAAGUUACCAGCCCUGAAAAUGGAUGGCGCUUAAGCGUCGUGCUUAUACUUUGCCGUUGGCGGCAUGCGAAAACGCAAACAGAGGCCCCGACGAGUAGGGGGGUCGCGACGGUGAGCGCAGAAGGACCGGGCGUGAGCCCGUCUGGAGCCGCCGUCGGCGCAGAUCUUGGUGGUAGUAGCAAAUACUUCAGCGAGCACCUGGAGGACUGAGGUGGAGAAGGGUUUCGUGUGAACAGCAGUUGCACACGAGUCAGUCGAUCCUAAGCCGCUAGGCGAAAGCCGAUGCUGAUGGGGCGCCGACGAAAGUCUAAUAGCGCGCAUGCCCGGCGAUCACGUAGUCGACGAAGACGACGACCACGAAGAUGACGGCGACGACGACACGACGUACGAAGAUCGAUCGAUCGCGCCCGUCUUUUCGUCCUAGUAUUAGGGCGAAAGACCGCGAGUACGCGUUCUAUAUCUUUCGUACGUGUCCGUUGUGCGCGUAGUCGUGCGUGUCUCUUCUCCUCUUAAUCGUCGUCAAGUAGUCGUCUACUUUCUUCGCUCGAUCGGCAAUAUGUCGCGCACCGAAACACAACUCAAGUCGCGCCCCUAGGGCGAAAGGGAAUGCGGUUCCUAUUCCGCAACCCGGCAACGGAACCGCCAUUAUUCGGGCCCUCAUUGAGAGUUCGUCUGGGUAACCUAACACGACCCGGAGACGCCGUCGGGAGGUCCGGGAAGAGUUUUCUUUUCUGCAUGAGCGUUCGAGAUCCAUGGAAGCCCAUAGCGGGGAGAUAUGGUUCGGAACGCGAAGAGCACUGCAAUUGC